rnacentral:rRNA from 1 species
UGGGGAAUUUUGGACAAUGGGCGCAAGCCUGAUCCAGCCAUGCCGCGUGAGUGAAGAAGGCCUUCGGGUUGUAAAGCUCUUUCGGCGGGGACGAAACGGUCCGUGCUAACACCACGGACUAAUGACGGUACCCGCAGAAGAAGCACCGGCUAACUACGUGCCAGCAGCCGCGGUAAUACGUAGGGUGCAGGCGUUAAUCGGAAUUACUGGGCGUAAAGCGUGCGUAGGCGGUUUGUUAAGACAGGUGUGAAAUCCCCGGGCUUAACCUGGGAACUGCGCUUGUUACUGGCAGACUUGAGUGUGGCAGAGGGGGGUGGAAUUCCAGGUGUAGCAGUGAAAUGCGUAGAUAUCUGGAGGAACACCGAUGGCGAAGGCAGCCCCCUGGGCUAACACUGACGCUGAUGCACGAAAGCGUGGGGAGCAAACAGG